UACGUAGGGCGCAAGCGUUGUCCGGAAUUACUGGGCGUAAAGAGCUCGUAGGUGGUUUGUCGCGUUGUUCGUGAAAACCGGGGGCUUAACCCUCGGCGUGCGGGCGAUACGGGCAGACUGGAGUACUGCAGGGGAGACUGGAAUUCCUGGUGUAGCGGUGGAAUGCGCAGAUAUCAGGAGGAACACCGGUGGCGAAGGCGGGUCUCUGGGCAGUAACUGACGCUGAGGAGCGAAAGCGUGGGGAGCGAACAGG
rnacentral:rRNA from 1 species